CGGGGCGAGCCGUGCGUGACUUAGUGGCGGACGGGUGAGUAACGCGUGGGCAACCUGCCCCGCACUGGGGGACAACGGCCGGAAACGGCCGCUAAUACCGCAUACACGGCGGGGGCCGCAUGGCCCCCGGCGGAAAGCUGCGGCGGUGCGGGAUGGGCCCGCGUCCGAUUAGCUGGUUGGCGGGGCAACGGCCCACCAAGGCGACGAUCGGUAGCCGGCCUGAGAGGGCGACCGGCCACAUUGGGACUGAGACACGGCCCAAACUCCUACGGGAGGCAGCAG
rnacentral:rRNA from 1 species